rnacentral:sRNA from 1 species
AAAUACCUGGGAACAGUUUUCAUUUAGCCAAGAAAGAUUGUCACACACGGUUAGGUGAAGCUGUGAUGAAAGUGCAGGGAGUCCUCGAGGAAGAUGACCUGAUUCAAACUGCCAUCACAGACAUCACUCAGCUGUGUGCGGAGAAUGUUAUCUUGUGGGCACAGUUCCUGGAAAUUGUUUUGAAGCAGCCGCAGGUUCAUCUUCACCUGGCUAGGGAACAUCACAACCUUCGGGUGAGCCGCAGUAUUUGCUU